CGUAGUGACGGUGUUUCGAUAACUCAGUUAGACUUCGAGAUCUACAUUUUCGACAAAGGCCUGGUGUAAUAUUACGUACUUGAUGAAGGUUUAAUGACACGAAUGAGUACAAGUACAUUACAUUUUUCGACGAAGGCCUUCUGUAAUUUCAUACGCUUCUUACGCAACAUUCAAUAGAUUUAUUUACUGUAUUAUCAUUUCGACCAAGGCGAAUUCGACACUUCAAUUACACAAGCACAAUCAAACUUAGUCAUUCCAGUCAGUUACUGAAGCACAGCGAAAACUGUCUGAAUUAGUGCUGCUGAUGGCAUGUAAUUACUCUACUACCACUACCAGUGACAGUCAAUGUCCAUAUAUUUUCAAGUGUGCGAAAUUAGUACUCAGUAAUUAGCAAUUCUUUUUGUUCCCAAUGCCCAUCCAUGAGAAUAUAUUUCACGCAUGUGACAAUCAUGUAAUCAUCCUGUUUUUUGUGUUCUAUUCAUGCAAUAAAUAAAUUCAGUAUUUUCAAAUCAUUGGUGCUACAAAACUAUUCUCAUUAUAGAUUAUUCAUAUCUUAUAAAAUGCUGUCAUGUCAAAUUUUGUGUCCUAUAAAUCAUUAUGAAGUCGGCAUUUUAUAUACAACUUUUGUACUCCUCCUAAAUAAACAUACAAAUCUUGUUUUAUGUAAACUUUGUAUAUGUGACCCGUCACAGCAAAACCAGGCGCAUGUCGCUCUGAGCUUGGCAGGUUGAGACGGACUGUUUGUUCAUUUAUCUAUUGUCUGCCUUUUGUAAAAUAUGAGCACAUCAAUUUCUUCCAUUAUCUCCUGGUGUCAUUUAGGCUCAUCUUCUGUGCGACAUGUACCUGGUUUUGCUGUGACGGGUCACAUAUUCUAUAGAUAUACAACACUCUAAUGUCACAAUGCCUCUCUCACUCGCUUUUAUAUAGCAAGAUGUAUGAAUAAACAUGACACACCAACUAUGUACAAAAUUGCUAACAAACUGCACCAUUUGUCAGUACACCACAUGAAAUAGAGAGAUAUGUCUUAAUUCUAAUCUUUCAUUAGCGACACCAUUUCUUACCCGAGUGCCUCCUUCAUUCAUACAUCUUGUACUUUAACUCAAGAUACCCAUCUUUGAAUAUUUUUAGUAUACCAAGUACUACAAUGUCAAUGUAUUGAAGUCAUGUUCUUGUAGUGUUAUUGGCUUUCUAUUAUCUUGUCAAAAUACCACUUGGUUCUCGCAAAAUCUCAAUAAAAACAAAUGCUAUUGGAUGUAUUGCAUAUUCUAACAGCUAUCCACUGUAUCGAUUUAUCCAUCAUCUGUACUAUUUGUCACAAAAAUGUUAUAUUAUGUAAAUCAUAUUUCAUUACAUAAUGCUCACUGCCAAUUACUGCUGAACCAUUCAUAUGUCAUUUAAAUAAAUAAUUUUCAACUUUUUAAAACCGUCUUAUAGUACUGUUCUUGUCACUUAGCUGAACCAAUUGCUCUAUAGCAUGAAAUUUCCAGAAAUGCCCCAGGGACUGAAAAGUGAUGUUUUAACAGAGAGGUGUCCUAAACUGAGAAGUCGAGUUGAAUGGAAACAACCAAUUUGGAACCAAAAACUACUGUCCUUAUUAAAGAGGUUGUCCUCAAUAGAAAGGUGUCCACAAAAAGUAGGUCCACUGUAUAUGAAAGUACAAACCCUGGUACAUGUAGUGACAUCAUCUACUGCUCGAUGUGGACACCUGCAAAUGCAGCGACAAUGUCACAUCAGUUAUUUAAUUCAUCGUCCUUUGUGCAGAUGGCACCACCCAUCAAGCAUGUUGGUGACGAAUAGUGUCGCAGCAUUUCGUCACCGAGCUUACACGAAAAUGCACUGUCAUUCAUUCAGCCAUAAGUGCAAGACUGUAGGGUUGUUUCCAACCAAAACAUGUUCGAAAUGUGUCAAGCAUUCGGAACACCCAAAGACUGAUUAGAGAAGUCAAAAUUGAAUGGAAACAACCAAUUUGGGACCAAAACCAGUGUCCUUAUUGGAAAGGUUGUCUUUAAUAGAGAGGUGUCUACUAACGGAGGUUCCACUCUACAUAAUGUAGGAACCCUGGUUGUGACAUUGUCCACUCCUCCAGCUGCACACCACCAAAUCCACAACAAUGUCACACCAGUUAUUUAGUUCAUCAUGCUUAUGGUCAUUGUACUUUCAUCUUAUAUAAAAUGUAACUUUUUACACG